rnacentral:rRNA from 1 species
CAGUCGCCGCGGUAAUACGUAGGUGGCAAGCGUUGUCCGGAAUUAUUGGGCGUAAAGGGCUCGCAGGCGGUUUCUUAAGUCUGAUGUGAAAGCCCCCGGCUCAACCGGGGAGGGUCAUUGGAAACUGGGAAACUUGAGUGCAGAAGAGGAGAGUGGAAUUCCACGUGUAGCGGUGAAAUGCGUAGAGAUGUGGAGGAACAUCAGUGGCGAAGGCGACUCUCUGGUCUGUAACUGACGCUGAGGAGCGAAAGCGUGGGGAGCGAACAGGAUUAGAUACCCCUGUAGUCCCUGUCUCUUAUAA